GCCCAGACUCCUACGGGAGGCAGCAGUGGGGGAUAUUGCACAAUGGGGGGAACCCUGAUGCAGCGACGCCGCGUGGGUGAAGAAGCGCCUCGGCGCGUAAAGCCCUUUCAGCAGGGAAGAAAAUGACGGUACCUGAAGAAGAAGCCCCGGCUAACUACGUGCCAGCAGCCGCGGUAAUACGUAGGGGGCAAGCGUUAUCCGGAUUUACUGGGUGUAAAGGGGGCGCAGACGGCAGCGCAAGCCAGGAGUGAAAGCCCGGGGCCCAACCCCGGGACUGCUCUUGGAACUGCGCGGCUGGAGUGCAGGAGGGGCAGGCGGAAUUCCUGGUGUAGCGGUGAAAUGCGUAGAUAUCAGGAGGAACACCAGUGGCGAAGGCGGCUUACUGGACUGUAACUGACAUUGAGGCUCGAAAGCGUGGGGAGCAAACAGGAUUAGAUACCCCAGUA
rnacentral:rRNA from 1 species